rnacentral:lncRNA from 1 species
UGGAAGAGAAGGCAAUACUGGUUUUGGGAGUGAUGGCAAUUCGGGUACUUUGGGAAGUUCUGGUUUAGGAAUAUUUGGUAAUUCGGGCAAUUUAGGGAGUUCUGGUUUUGGUAAGUUUGGUAGUUCAGGUAGUUUUGGGAGUUCAGGUUUUGGUAGAUGAUCGGGAACUUCAGCAAGUUUAGGGAGAUCAAACUUAGGCAUGGUUGGAAUUUCAGGAACUUUGGAGUGAUCAAAGUUAGGUACUUUUGGUAAUUCAGGCAACUUUGGAAGUUCAGGCUUUGGCAAUUCAGGGACUUUAGGCUUUUCUAGAGGUGGAAGAUGAGGCAGUGGAGGUAACUCAACUUUCGGUAGUGGAGGAAGCUCUGACUUUGGCAAAGUGGGUAUUUCAGGCUUUGGAAGCCCUUCAGGUCCAUGAGGUAUUGGCGUCUCCAAGAGAUGCCUUGCGCUCACUGACAUAAUAAGAAAAUCAAAGCUCAUGGUGACUAUAAGAAUACCAAGUACCAAAGAAGCUUUAAGGGUUGAUAAGGGACGA